UACAGACCAAGUUAAUAAGAGCUAUUGGUGGAUGCCUUGGCAUUGACAGGCGAAGAAGGACGCGAAUACCUGCGAAAAGCUCCGGCGAGCUGGUGAUAAGCAAAGACCCGGAGGUAUCCGAAUGGGGAAACCCGGUAGAGUAAUAGACUACCAUUGCAUGCUGAAUACAUAGGUAUGCAAAGCGACACCUGCCGAACUGAAACAUCUUAGUAAGCAGAGGAAAAGAAAUCGAAGAGAUUCCCUGUGUAGCGGCGAGCGAAAGGGGAAUAGCCUAAACCGAGCUGAUAAGGCUCGGGGUUGUAGGAUUGAGGAUAAAGGAUCAGGACUCCUAGUUGAACACAUCUGGAAAGAUGGAUGAUACAGGGUGAUAGUCCCGUAGACGAAAGGAGAGAAAGACCGACCUCAACACCUGAGUAGGACUAGACACGUGAAACCUAGUCUGAAUCUGGGGAGACCACUCUCCAAGGCUAAAUACUAGUCAAUGACCGAUAGUGAACCAGUACUGUGAAGGAAAGGCGAAAAGAACCCUUGUUAAGGGAGUGAAAUAGAACCUGAAACCAGUAGCUUACAAGCGGUCGGAGACCAAUGGCCCGUAAGGGUCAAGGUUGACGGCGUGCCUUUU
rnacentral:rRNA from 1 species